CCGCUAUCCAGAAGCUUUCCCACUCCGCAAAGUAACUGCCACCACCAUAGCACAAGCCAUCCUUCAGCUGUUCUCUAGGGUAGGGAUACCCCAAGAGAUCAUCACAGAUCAGGGAACAGCCUUUUUGUCCAAGAAGCUCAAGCAGGUCUAUAGCUUACUUGGGAUUAAGGGGAUACGGACCACACCCUAUCACCCCCAAACUGAUGGCUUGGUUGAACGCUACAACCAAACCCUAAAGAAUAUGCUACGGAAGUACGUGUCAGCCAAUGGAAAAGAUUGGGACCGCUGGCUGCCAUACUUGCUGUUCGCAUAUCGUGAGGUGCCCCAGGCAUCUACCGGUUUCUCUCCAUUUGAACUGUUGUAUGGGAGACCAGUGCGAGGCCCCCUGGAUCUGCUGAAAGAAGCCUGGGAGGGACCAAAGGCACCGGAGACCCACAGCAUUCUUGCCCAUGUCCUGCAAAUGCGGGAAAAGAUGGAGGAGAUGACAGAGCUGGUCCGGAGCAACCUGGAGCAAGUGCAACACCGCCAGAAGGUCUGGUACGACAAAAAGGCCAGACAAAGAACUCUUCAGCCGGGGCAGAAAGUUCUUCUGCUCCUCCCUACAUCGGAGAACAAGCUACUCGCUCAGUGGCAGGGGCCAUACACCAUUACCCGGAAGGUGGGGCCUGCCACCUAUGAGAUCAACAUGCCUGGCCGGAAGAAACCAAAGCGGGUCUUCCACAUCAACCUGCUUAAAGAGUGGCGGGAGAGAGUUCCCGAGAGCAGUCUACAGCUCAUGGUGCAAGCCGUUGGAGAAGAAGAGGAUACUCCAGAGCAGUUUUUUCCAACUGCUCAACCACUUGCACCUCUUGACCUAGCACACCUUACUCCACAGCAGCAGAGAGAGCUGGAGGCCAUCAUUCCUCCAGGUCUGUGUCGAGAGACACCUGGAGUCACCACCCUAGUGGAACACUUCAUUCCGCUGAAAGAUAGCACACCAGUACGUCAAAGGAUGUACCGAAUCCCAGAGCGUCUUCUGCCUCUACUUA
rnacentral:lncRNA from 1 species